rnacentral:misc_RNA from 1 species
GAUGAAGAACGUAGUGAAAUGCGAUAAGCAAUGUGAAUUGCAGAAUUCAGUGAAUCAUCGAAUCUUUGAACGCACCUUGCACCCUUUGGCAUUCCGAAGGGUAUGCUCGUUUGAGUGUCAUUGUACUCUCACACUUCUGAUCCUUUGGAUUGGGAGCGGUGGACUUGGGUGUUGCUGCUUUACUGUGGCUCACCUCAAAUGCAUUCGUGCAACUCUUGGUUGGACAUAGUACGGCGUGAUAAGUAUCUUCGCCGGCACCUCGCAAGAGGGUGGCUGAUCAGGAGCUCUGUGCUUUCCAACUGUCUUCAGACAACAACUGACAACUUGACCUCAAAUCGAGUAGGACCACCCGCUGAACUUAAGCAUAUCAAUAAGCGGAGGA